rnacentral:ribozyme from 1 species
GCUGCUCGUAAUAAUCACACACCUCUUCGUGGUGAGCAGCAGGCAACGCUGAAAUAGCGGCUAAGUGUGAGA